AAUGAAGAGCCUGAUUAAAGGAUUAUCGUGAUAGGAUAAAACAUGUAGCCAAAACCUACCCUCAUUA
rnacentral:tRNA from 1 species